GACGAACGCUGGCGGCGUGCUUAACACAUGCAAGUCGAACGGAAAGGCCCUGCUUUUGUGGGGUGCUCGAGUGGCGAACGGGUGAGUAACACGUGAGUAACCUGCCCUUGACUGUGGGAUAACUUCAGGAAACUGGGGCUAAUACCGGAUAGGAGCUCCUGCUGCGUGGUGGGGGGUGGAAAGUUUCGGCGGGUGGGGAUGGACUCGCGGCUUAUCAGCUUGUUGGUGGGGUAGUGGCUUACCAAGGCUUUGACGGGUAGCCGGCCUGAGAGGGGGACCGGCCACAUUGGGACUGAGAUACGGCCCAGACUCCUACGGGAGGCAGCAGUGGGGAAUAUUGCACAAUGGGCGGAAGCCUGAUGCAGCAACGCCGCGUGCGGGAUGACGGCCUUCGGGUUGUAAACCGCUUUCGCCUGUGACGAAGCGUGAGUGACGGUAAUGGGUAAAGAAGCACCGGCUAACUACGUG
rnacentral:rRNA from 1 species